rnacentral:lncRNA from 1 species
GUCUCCCAGGCGGGUCUUGAACUCCUAGGCUCAAGCAAUCCUACUGCCUCAGCCUCCCGAAGUGCUGGGAUUGCAGGUAUGAGCCACCAUGCCUGGCCCCAGAAAUAUUCUGAACGGCUUUGACAAGGUGUUGAAGAGCUUUCCCUACUAGAUUCAGCAUGCUGAAACAGGGAGCUGCACCGGGACUGUGGACACAUUGCCUGGAUUCCAGACCUAGCUCCCCCAGGACAAAACUGCAUGACUUCGGGCAAGUACCCUCAUCUAUAACAUGGCGACAAUAAUACCUCAUCCUCCUAGGGCUCAUAACCCUCAUAUUGAGUGUGUUAAAUGAGUUUUGUAGAAAAAACACUCAGCAUAGUUCCGAGCUCCUAGGGGUUGAGAUAGAAAUAUGGGUUGUUGUCACUGGCCAUGGGACACACGUGUACUUGUGUGAUCCUUGUAACGAUCCUGUGACCAUCAUGGAGGUCAGCUCCAUUUUGCACAGAAGAGAAACUGGGUCACAGGAAGCCUUGCCUAAAGCCUAGCAGCUACUGAGAGAUGGAGCUAACUCUAGGUCCUAGCACUCCAGACACUGCCCUUUACAGGACCUAGGGUACGUUUUGUUUUCAUUCCUGUCAAGGAAUUGAUUACAAAAAUCUUGCUGUUAACUUGGGUCCUUUUUCAGUCUACAUCAAUCUAGGAGUAAACAAGGUUAACAACAAUGUUGUGAAGUAGCGUUUCUCUAGCCCAGACUCACCAGCAAUUUGGAAGAUUCCAGCCCCCAUAAAAUUUGCUUGAGCAAGUCUGGGAGUCUCAGGACUGUAUGAUAGGUCCUCACACAUAAGUCUGCUUAGCUAUCACUUGAUGAGUGACUUUUUCAACAUUGACUCCACCUGCCGUGGGGAUGUUUCAGCCAAAGCUGCCACCCCAGCG